UACGAAGGGGGCUAGCGUUGCUCGGAAUCACUGGGCGUAAAGGGCGCGUAGGCGGCCAUUCAAGUCGGGGGUGAAAGCCUGUGGCUCAACCACAGAAUUGCCUUCGAUACUGUUUGGCUUGAGUUUGGUAGAGGUUGGUGGAACUGCGAGUGUAGAGGUGAAAUUCGUAGAUAUUCGCAAGAACACCAGUGGCGAAGGCGGCCAACUGGACCAAUACUGACGCUGAGGCGCGAAAAGCGU
rnacentral:rRNA from 1 species